ACAGAGAAUUUCAUGGAACAAGUUAUUUUUGAUUUUCCCUGAGCUGAAUCUGAGGACCAUCACUUUUUGAUGAAACCUUCCUGGCAGAUUUGCCCUGUCUCUCCGUGCCCAGUGUGGGCCCUAGAGGGGAACAAAAUUACUUCAGUACAUUUUGAUGAGUCAAGAUUCUCUCCUGUUGCUGGUGAGUGGACCACAUCUCAUUACCUGGUCCCAAGAGGUAAGUACCUAAACCGGCCUCCAGCAGCAAGGAAUGAGGAGGGAGGAAUGGGUUUGGGUAGGAAACCACCUGUGUCAUUAGGUGUCCUCCUGAAAUAACUGGAUGGCUCUGAACUUUGCUUCUUACAGCAGAGGGAGCUGAGUCAAGGUGCUAUUUUGUCAAGGUUAAAUCUCACUCUAACACUGAGCUGAGUUAUGGGCCCUGAUAUUGUGGAUGUAAUUGAACUUGUUCAGAUGAAAUGAAACAAUACAGAGAAAUGAAGAGAA